rnacentral:rRNA from 1 species
GACGAACGCUGGCGGCGUGCUUAACACAUGCAAGUCGAACGGAAAGGCCCUGCUUUUGUGGGUUUCUCGAUUGGCGAACGGGUGAGUAACACGUGAGUAACCUCCCCUUGACUUUCUGAUAACUUCACGAAACUGGGGCUCAUACCCGAUAUGAGCUCCUGCUGCAUGUUGGGGGUUAGAAAGUUUCGGUGGUUGGGGAUGGACUCGCGGCUUAUCAGCUUCUUUGUGUGGUAGUUGCUUUCCAAGGCUUUGACGGGUAGCCGGCCUGAGAGGGUGAACGGCCACAUUGGGACUGAGAGACGGACCAGAAUCCUACGGGAGGCAGCAGUGGGGAAUAUUGCAGAAUGGGCGGAAGCCUGAUGCAGAAACGCCGCGUGCGGGAUGACGGCCUUCGGGUGGUAAACCGCUUUCGCCGGUGACGAAGCGUGAGUGACGGUAAUGGGUAAAGAAGCACCGGCUAACUACGUG